UAAGACAAAAGGGGAUUAGGUUUAGAAGUUGUGACCAUUGGAGUCGUUGAACGAAUCUUCUUCCUCUUCUCUCAAAACGGCGACGGCGGUGGCCUUGAUUCUCCCCGUCUCCGAUCAAAAACCACGAACAACAACGCAGGCAACACCGAGAGCACAUCAUCUUCGCCUCAAUUUCCUCCAACCUCGUCUCUCCGUCUCGAAUCUCUACGUUUUUCUGAAACUCCGAAGACUGGUCCGGUUCGAGUUUGAUGAAGACGAAGAACAAACGUUCUUCUUCUUCUAUUCUGAAUCGCGAGCUUAUGCGUUCUCGGUUGUGAACACGUUGAUGUGUUGUUGUUGUUUCGUGUUGAUGAAGAGAAUUCGGAUGCGCUGCGAGAUUGAUGAUGAUUAUUGCGUCAUGAAGAACAUGUAAUGGAGACUGCAAAGAGAAUGUGUAGAGAAGUGAAGAUUCAAUGUUGACAAUUCGAGAUCGAAGAAAACGGUUAUCGCGAAGAGAAAUCGAAGAUGCCGUAAGGAAAUAUGCAGUGCGGUUCCAAGAGAGAACAGAGAGAAUUCUUGAGAUUGAAGGUUGGAGGAUCUUGCGAUGAUUGGAGAAGAUUGAAGAGAUGGUGGUGAUGAUGAACCGCGAUGGUGAUGAUUAUGCAGGUAGCAUUUUUGGAUGAAGAUGUGAAGAUUCUCGGCUGAGUCUCAUGAAGGUCGAUGAUGAGAGGGAAGAGAAAGAUGCGGUUAUCGUUAUUCAAUUUCUUUUUUCAAAGAAGUCUCUUUUCAGAUUCUGUUUCAAUUUUCUGCAGAAUUGAAGAUGGGAGAAUGAUUGGUGAAGAAGAUGGAUGAGAAUUGAAGAUUAGAUUGGUCAAGAUAGUGAUUCAGAGAUGAUGUUGAUUUAACUCGGUUUAGAGAGAAAGGGAGCAUUGAAUCGGGAGGGUUAUGCAGGGGUCAGACUUAAUACCGUUUCGGUUCGGUUUUUGUGUAGGGUUGGCUUGAUUUUGAGUUAUGUUGAAGAAUGGAUCGUUUUUUUUCAGCCUGAAGGAUGAUGUUUAGCCAUUAUGACCAGUAGGCUAAGGCUAUCUUUUUGUGUAAUUUUUGUAAUGAAUGUAUUGUGAUUGUAAUGGACUGGACUUUGUAAUUUGAACUUUUGUAAUUUCGUAUGAAAUUGGUUUUGGAUUUUGGAUAA